AAGUCGUAACAAGGUUUCCGUAGGUGAACCUGCGGAAGGAUCAUUAACACGUAUCCACGUUAUCAAACCAAUGAGAACCGUUUUCCCGUCUCCCUGCUGCAUGAAAUGAAUUGGAACCAGUUUGAGGGGGUGAUGGGACUGAAAAGUCGACCUUCCUGGCACACUGAUGUUCACUUUCCGUUUAUUCGGAGAUUGGCAUCGACAAUUGUAUUUGUGUUCUGCAGGCUAAUUCUUUAUCGCUUUGAUCCCCUCACGAUCGUGGCGGUAGGGAAGCCCUUUAAACUACAUUUACCCCCUUUUUUGCUAGUUGACUUUUUAUAUGUGUUGUGGAAUUCAUUCUCGGCACACGUUUAUUAAUUGAACGUUAAAAAAUACAACUCUUAGCAAUGGAUAUCUUGGUUCUC
rnacentral:misc_RNA from 1 species